GGGAGAAGCAGGCUGAAGAGCCUUUGACAAGAGUCCGCCGGCCAAGCUCACCUUUAGGAGUCGCAGGACACCAGAGCCCAGCGUGUCCUGCAUUGGCCGGAGAAGUGGACACGUGUCCGGUGGACAGCCCCUGUUCCUUCACAUCCAGCAGCGAUGUUGAACAAGCUAGCCUGGGGUCCAUGGAUGAAGAAGACCUCGAAAUAUAUUUUUCCUGUGUCAGUGACACUGAACAGGAGGAGCAGGCUGAAGAGCCCUUGGCAAGAGUCCGCCAGCCAGGCUCACCUUUAGGUGUCACGGGUCACCAGAGCCCAAAGUGUCCUGCAUUGGCCGGAGAAGUGGACACAUGUCCAGUGGACAGCCUCUGUUCCUGCACAUCCAGCAGUGAUGUCGAACAAGCUAGCCUGGGGUCCAUGGAUGAAGAAGACCUCGAAAUAUAUAUUUCCUGUGUCAGUGACACCGAACAGGAGGAGCAGGCUGAAGAGCCCUCGACAGGAGUCCGCCAGCCAGGCUCACCUUUAGGUGUCACGGGUCACCAGAGCUCAAAGUGUCCUGCAUUGGCCAGAGAAGUGGACACGUGUCCGGUGGACAGCCUCUGUUCCUCCACAUCCAGCAGUGAUGUUGAACAAGCUAGCCUGGGGUCCACAGAUGAAGAAGACCCAGAGAUACAUUCUUCCUGUGUCAGUGACACCGAAGAGGAGGAGCUGGCUGAAGAGCCCUCGGCAAGAGUCCACCGGCCAGGCUCACCUUUGGGUGUUGCAGGUCACCAGAGCCUGGAGAAGAAGGAUGAGGAAGACUCGCUUUCUUCACAUCUGGCGGCUGUUUUGGCUUUGACAUCACAGCCUAGUGCUCCAAAUAAUAGAUUCCUGGAGGCCUUAAACUAUGUGGUCUCGAGAAGCAGAAUAGAAAGUGGGAGAACCGUUACAUCUGAUGAACUGGCCUGUUAUGGGCUCCCCAAUCUGUCCCAGACCUGUUUUAUGAACUCUGUUCUCCAGAGCCUCCUGACCCCCAUGCCUUUUGUGAAGGAGCUCAAGAAACAGAGUCAUCAGUGGCGUUCACACCCAAAAGCUCUGCUUUUCAAGUACAGCACAAGCUCACGUGCCCCCAUUAUUCUAUGGCAUUAAUGCAAUGAAUGAAAAACAUCUGCUUUCUCCUUUUUCCAGGUUGCUCACAGAUAUAAACAACUGCUUCACAACAAAAAACAGCAUGCAGAAGAAAUCCACCCUCUUCACCUUCCUGCGCACCAUUGCCCUGCGUCAUCCAGACUUUAUAAAAGAUGAGCA
rnacentral:lncRNA from 1 species